GUGUUUGCUUUGGCAGCACAUGUACUAAAAUUGGAAUGAUACAGAUAAGAUUAGCACGGCCCCUGCAUAGAGAGAUUACACCCAAAUCCAUGAAGUGUUCCAUAUAUAU
ensembl:snRNA U6 U6 spliceosomal RNA